rnacentral:lncRNA from 1 species
GCGUGGACCCAGCGCCCGGGGGGCUCCGUCCACGGCUGCCCAAGUGCUGUAGAUGGUCCUGUCUCACCAGCUAGGGAGGUACAAGGCCAGGCAGGGUGUAGAUAGUGCUCAGUGCUGGAGAAGGAAGACGGAGUCCCGGGCGUCUCCAUGCAGGCAUGCAGCCUUUCUCCAAGGCCAGCAGUGCACAGAUCUAUUUGAGUCUAUAGAAAGCUUCAGAAAAAGACAGUUCCUUAUAGUUGGAGCCGGCACUGUGGCUCACUUAGUUAAUCCUCUGCCUGCGGCGCUGGCAUCCCAUAUGGGCGCUGGGUUCUAGUCCCGGUCGCUCCUCUUCCAGGCCAGCUCUCUGCUGUGGCCUGGGAGUACAGUGGAGGAUGGCCCAAGCGCUUGGGCCCUGCACCCGCAUGGGAGACCAGGAGGAUGCACCUGGCUCUUGGCUUCGGAUCGGCAUAGCUCCGGCCGUGGUGGCCAUUUGGGGGGUGAACCAACGGAGGGAAGACCUUUCUCUCUGUUUCUCUCUCUCUCUCUCUCACUGUCUAUAAUUUUACCUGUCAAAUAUAUAAAAAUAAAAAAAGAAAAUUCCUUAUAAUUUCACGAAAUGAACAAUCUGCUAGACAUUUGUCUUGAGAUAUUUAUGUUGCUUCUGUGUGUCAAGAGAAGAAAAAACAAAAACAUGCAUUUGGUGCUUACGUUGGAAGCGCCAGAGAAAGAGAAUGCCCACGGAGUGCUGGGAGCAAGGGUAGUCCAGACCGGAGAGCGGGAAAGCGUGCAAAUUCAAUGCACAUCUCCCAUACGUGUCGCAGGAACCCAGUCACUCACUCGCGCACCGCCGCCUUCCAGGGUCCUGCUUCGGGUUUUUCCAGAUUGUGGAACAGUCGCGUGUACUGAAGGAGCUGUCUUGGGCAUGAGACCGAGGCCCUUUUUCAGCGGUGAGCUCCUGAAGGCUGGGCAGCUGGUGCAUCCUAUGCAAGCGGACAGAAAUGUAGGGAGGACCCAGAAGCAGAGGAGAGAGGCCGGCUGCAGGAGGGCCAGCAGCCAGAGCCCUGGCUGA